rnacentral:rRNA from 1 species
ACUCAAAGGAAUUGACGGGGGCUCACACAAGCGGUGGAGCAUGUGGUUCAAUUCGAAGCAACGCGCAGAACCUUACCUGGGCUUGACAUGCCAGGAUUAUCCCUGUGAAAGCAGGGUAGGCCCUUCGGGGUACAACUGGUACAGGUGCUGCAUGGCUGUCGUCAGCUCGUGUCGUGAGAUGUCGGGUUAAGUCCCUUAACGAGCGAAACCUUUGCCCUUAGUUACCAGCGAGUAAAGUCGGGGACUCUAAGGGGACUGCCGGUGUCAAACCGGAGGAAGGUGGAGAUGACGUCAAGUCCUCAUGGCCUUUAUGCCCAGGGCCACACACGUGCUACAAUGGGGUGCACAGAGCGAACCGAGACCGCAAGGUGGAGGAAAUCGCAUAAAUCACCCCCCAGUUCAGAUCGGAGGCUGCAACUCGCCUCCGUGAAGUUGGAAUCGCUAGUAAUCGCGAAUCAGCUACGUCGCGGUGAAUGUGUUCCUGAGCCUUGCACACACCGCCCGU